GUUUGGCUUUUGACAUUCGUUUCGCAAGAGUAUCCAAAAAUGAAAUCUGUACUUAUUUUUGUUACCAUUAUUGUGAUGGUUGCUUUAGCUUCGCUAGUUGCAGCUCAGCUUCCAGAUGUGGCAGAUCCAACGGGAGUGAUAGAUAAGGCAAAGGUAAUAGUUAAUGACACUCUUUCUAAACUGCCAGUGGGAGUUCCUGUUCCUGUUCCUGACACCGGGAAACUCCUUGGAUAAGUGACUUGUUUCAUUGCCAACUUCUAUUAUGAAUAUCAGAAAUGUGUAAUACAAUAUAAGCACCGCUGCACAACAAUGCACCAAUAAACUACGCAAGGCACCAAUGCACCCA